rnacentral:rRNA from 1 species
GUUGAACGCUGGCGGCGUGCGUAACACAUGCAAGUCGAACGAAGUGGCGGAUGGGAGAGUAACACGUGAGGAACCUGCCUUUCACCGGGGAAUAACACUGGGAAAACAGUGUUAAUACCGCAUAUUGAAAGAUGGCCUCGCGCCUGAUUAGCUAGUAGGUGAGGUAACGGCUCACCUAGGUGAUGAACAGUAGCCGGACUGAAGUUUGAUCGGCCGCAUUGGGACUGAGACACGGCCCAGACUCCUACGGGAGGCAGCAGUGGGGAGUAUUGGGCGAUGGCGCAAGCCUGACCCAGCAACGCCUCGUGAAGGAAGACGGUCUUCGGAUUGUAAACUUCUUUAGACAGGGACGCGGUACCUGUAGAAUAAGCCACGGCUAACUACGUGCCAGCCGCCGCGGUAAUAC